rnacentral:rRNA from 1 species
GGCAGUGCGCUGCUAUACAUGCAGUCGAACGAACUUCCGUUAAUUGAUUAUGACGUACUUGUACUGAUUGAGAUUUUAACACGAAGUGAGUGGCGAACGGGUGAGUAACACGUGGGUAACCUGCCCAGAAGUAGGGGAUAACACCUGGAAACAGAUGCUAAUACCGUAUAACAGAGAAAACCGCAUGGUUUUCUUUUAAAAGAUGGCUCUGCUAUCACUUCUGGAUGGACCCGCGGCGUAUUAGCUAGUUGGUGAGGUAAAGGCUCACCAAGGCAGUGAUACGUAGCCGACCUGAGAGGGUAAUCGGCCACAUUGGGACUGAGACACGGCCCAGACUCCUACGGGAGGCAGCAGUAGGGAAUCUUCCACAAUGGACGCAAGUCUGAUGGAGCAACGCCGCGUGAGUGAAGAAGGGUUUCGGCUCGUAAAGCUCUGUUGUUAAAGAAGAACGUGGGUAAGAGUAACUGUUUACCCAGUGACGGUAUUUAACCAGAAAGCCACGGCUAACUACGUGCCAGCAGCCGCGGUAAUACGUAGGUGGCAAGCGUUAUCCGGAUUUAUUGGGCGUAAAGCGAGCGCAGGCGGUCUUUUAAGUCUAAUGUGAAAGCCUUCGGCUCAACCGAAGAAGUGCAUUGGAAACUGGGAGACUUGAGUGCAGAAGAGGACAGUGGAACUCCAUGUGUAGCGGUGAAAUGCGUAGAUAUAUGGAAGAACACCAGUGGCGAAGGCGGCUGUCUGGUCUGCAACUGACGCUGAGGCUCGAAAGCAUGGGUAGCGAACAGGAUUAGAUACCCUGGUAGUCCAUGCCGUAAACGAUGAUUACUAAGUGUUGGAGGGUUUCCGCCCUUCAGUGCUGCAGCUAACGCAUUAAGUAAUCCGCCUGGGGAGUACGACCGCAAGGUUGAAACUCAAAAGAAUUGACGGGGGCCCGCACAAGCGGUGGAGCAUGUGGUUUAUUUCGAAGCUACGCGAAGAACCUUACCAGGUCUUGACAUCUUCUGACAGUCUAAGAG